CUAACAAGGAUUCCCCUAGUAACGGCGAGUGAAGCGGGAAGAGCUCAAAUUUGUAAUCUGGCGGUCUCAGGCCGCCCGAGUUGUAAUCUGGAGAAGCGUUUUCAGUGCCGGCCCGCGUACAAGUCCCCUGGAACGGGGCGUCGCAGAGGGUGAGAAUCCCGUCUUUGACGCGGUCUGCCCGGUGCCAUGUGAUGCGCUCUCGAAGAGUCGAGUUGUUUGGGAAUGCAGCUCAAAACGGGUGGUAAAUUCCAUCUAAAGCUAAAUACUGGCGAAAGACCGAUAGCGAACAAGUACCGUGAGGGAAAGAUGAAAAGCACUUUGGAAAGAGAGUCAAACAGUACGUGAAAUUGUUGAAAGGGAAACGCUUGAAGUCAGUCGCGUCUCUCGGGAUUCAACCGUCCUUCGGGUCGGCGUAUUUCCCGGGGUUUGACGGGCCAGCGUCGAUUUCGACCGUCGUAAAAAGGCGAGAGGAAUGUGGCACCUCCGGGUGUGUUAUAGCCUCCCGUCGUAUGCGAACGGUCAGGGAUCGAGGAACGCAGCGCGCCUCUUAACUGGGGCCGGGGUUCGCCCACGUAACGCGCUUAGGACGCUGGCGUAAUGGCUUUAA
rnacentral:rRNA from 1 species